UACGGAGGGAGCUAGCGUUGUUCGGAAUUACUGGGCGUAAAGCGCACGUAGGCGGCGAUUCAAGUCAGAGGUGAAAGCCCGGGGCUCAACCCCGGAACUGCCUUUGAAACUAGAUUGCUAGAAUCCUGGAGGGGUGAGUGGAAUUCCGAGUGUAGAGGUGAAAUGCGCAGAUAUCAGGAGGAACACCCGUAGCGAAGGCGGCACUCUGGGCCGAUACUGACACUGAGGAGCGAAAGCGUGGGGAGCGAACAGG
rnacentral:rRNA from 1 species